rnacentral:rRNA from 1 species
GCCCUAGUAACGGCGAGUGAAGCGGCAACAGCUCAAAUUUGAAAGCUGGCUCCGGCCCGCAUUGUAAUUUGCAGAGGAUGCUUUUGGUGAGGUGCCUUCCGAGUUCCCUGGAACGGGACGCCAUAGAGGGUGAGAGCCCCGUAUGGAUGGACACCAAACCUGUGUAAAGCUCCUUCAACGAGUCGAGUAGUUUGGGAAUGCUGCUCAAAAUGGGAGGUAAAUCUCUUCUAAAGCUAAAUACCGGCCAGAGACCGAUAGCGCACAAGUAGAGUGAUCGAAAGAUGAAAAGCACCUUGAAAAGGGGGUUAAACAGUACGUGAAAUUGUUAAAAGGGAAGCGCUUGUGACCAGACUUGCGCCGGGCAGCUCAUCAGGGGUUCUCCCCUGUGCACUCUGCCCGGCUCAGGCCAGCAUCGGUUCUCGUGGGAGGAUAAGAACAGUAGGAAUGUGGCCCCCUCUCGGGGGGGUGUUAUAGCCUAUUGUACGAUACUCUCGUGGGGACCGAGGUUCGCGCUCCGCAAGGAUGCUGGCGUAAUGGUCAUCAGCGACCCGUCUUGAAACACGGACCAAGGAGUCGUCCAUUAGAGCGAGCGUUUGGGUGUAAAACCCGCACGCGUAAUGAAAGUGAACGCAGGUGAGAGCUUCGGCGCAUCAUCGACCGAUCCUGAUGUCUUCGGAUGGAUUUGAGUAAGAGUUUUAACGGACGGACCCGAAAGACAGUGAACUAUGCUUGUAUAGGGUGAAGCCAGAGGAAACUCUGGUGGAGGCUCGCAGCGGUUCUGACGUGCAAAUCGAUCGUCAAAUAUGAGCAUGGGGGCGAAAGACUAAUCGAACUGUCUAGUAGCUGGGUUACCGCCGA